CUGCACCAUAGAACGGACUCGUCGUGUUUUUCUUUGUAGCAGUCGGUAAUGAUGGAAGGUUAUUAUGACUGAGGAAGAAUAUAGUAAGUAAGGAAAGUGGAUUAUCAACAGCUUUGAAUUUUCUUUCACAUCUACUACAUAGAAAAUAGGAUGUGUUUAAUGCCCAAUGACAAAAAUUCCCACUAGAGACAAACUGACUUAGAUCUUCCCAGUUAUAGGUCAAAGAAUGAUGUAAGACA
rnacentral:lncRNA from 1 species